GUCAAGGAAACAGAUUCUCCUCUAAGGCCUCCAGAAGGAAUGCUGUCCUGCCGACACCUUGAUUUUAGGACUUCUGACUUUCAGAACUGCUGACCUUUUGCAAAGCCACAAUAAUCCACACUCCCGGGGGAACACAGGACGGUUUACCACACGCUCAGAGGAGCCAAUUCUUGAAUGGUAAGGAGACAGCUGUUCCUGGAAGCCUAGCCAAGGCCAGGCAUGAGAGUGUGGCUAAGGCACUGUGGGAGGCUGUGUAGCUCCUGUAUACCCAGUCCUGGUCACCACACAUCCUACAGCACCAUGGCUCAGCUGACCUGCCUCCUGCUCUGAACAAGGGGUCUCUGCAAGCAAGAUACCCUGAUGAUGAAGAAAGAAGCCCAGGGAGCCUGGAAUUGUGCACAUAAACAUAACAUUUCCAAGGCAAACGGUUUUAAGAGACCCAUUUAAAAGACACUAUUCUAAAUAAAUUUAAAACAAGAACAACAACAUUAAAUGGUUCCCGGGAAUACCCUGGCAGUCCAGUUAAGACUCCACGCCCAGAAGCCUCCUCGAGGCCAAAAAAACCCCACCCAACCAACCAAACAAACAAACCGCCCCCCGCCCCAAAAUAAAUU